CUUCUGAUUGCACAGUCUGUUUUCGAAAGGAAACAAGGGGCUUUAUAGACCUGCCUUUUCGAAGAUUUCAGAGUUAUUCUGUUCCAGGAAGCAGCAUAAGGAGCACCCUACAGUUGUAUUCCAGAGUCUCUUUUUGAUGAAAAACUUCUUGCAUACGUUUGUUAAUAAUGAAAUGGCUUUUCCAGAUAAUCUGUGAUGCAUGUAGCUCCAGAGAGUUUGCAACAGACCUUUUCAAGAUGUAUCGAAUAUCCCAACUAAUGUCAACACCAGCAGCAAGUAAAUGUUCUUCAGUGUUUGAUAAACAGCCCAGGCAAAGUCUGUCCCCUGAACACAUUUUGCCAAGUUACACUUAUGCCUUUCUGGACAGUGACACCUCCUAUGAAUGUUGUUCCAUAAACCCCUUGACGGGCUCUCUUUUCACAUGUCGCCGUAGUCCUCGGCUUCUUACUAAUGGCUAUUACAUUUUGACGGAAGACAGUUUUCUGUCUGAUGAAGAUGGUAACAUAACACUGACCCCGUCACAGACAAGUGUUACCUAUAAGGAGAAAUUAGUUAGAAUAUUCAGGAGAAGGAAGAAAAUCCGUCGCUCUCUUGCUAGUCUGUUCAGUCUCAGUGCUUCGGAUUCAUGGCUCAACAGCACUGUCCUUAGCAAUAUGGAUUCUCCUGAUGUAGAGGAGAUUUGGAAUGAUGGAGAUAAUAAACUAGAUGCCAAUCAGCACUAUGGCAAUGAUGACUCUGAAUUUUCUUCUGAAUGCAAAACCUGGAUGCAAAUGCCAGCAGCUGAUGAAUCCUCUUUUUCUAAAGAUGUGGUGUUCAUUCAGUCAAGAAAACAGUUCAGUGAUUCCUCUCCAUGCUCCCAGUUUAUGGUAGAUGGGUAUUUCCAUGAAGAGACUUUGGAUCGUUCAAAAUCCAGUGCAGUGAGAAAUGUCGUUUAUCAAAUGAUUAUACUGUCCAUGUGUUUAAUCAUUUCAGUGUGUGCAAGAUGCUUUCUGGGAGGACGCUUUGCCACUUUGUUGGCUUUUUUGCUGCUGCUAAUUUUAGUUUAUGCUGCCAAGUCAUCUUUCAUCAGUCUUGUCACAUCUUCCAAAACCACCAAAUUACGCAGGCCUGCCGACAGCCAUGCCGGGCCCCAGGACAGAGCAGUCAAUGGGCAUGGCCAGGGCUUCCAAAUGCCUGCCCAGCUGCCUUUGCUGCUGCUGGUACUACCCCUCGGAGCCCUACAGCCCACCUGGGCGAUGUAAAAGCACCCGGGGCUCCCGGCCACCGCUACUGUGGCAGCGGUGGCAGCCAGAGGCCCUUGGGCCAUUUUAAAUCAACCGGGCCCGAUGGCAAUUGCCCCCUUUGCCAUCCCUGUCGGUGGGCCUGCUUCUCAGUACAGAAAUAAUUGAAAGACUGAAUCGGUUUGCCAGCAUGUACAGACCACUUAUCUGGAGCCAUUUUUCUUUUGCCCGUGAGAAACUAGCAGAAUUUUCAGAGCUCUUUCUCCCAAUAACACAAAAUCAUUUUAUUUGGACUGUACUUGGAUCCUUUCACAGUUUGCUAGGAAGCCAGGCUUUCCACUAGUCUUUUUUGCACCCAAUCCUGCAAGCAGAACCAUGCAGGCAGACCCCUAUGACCACAUGGAACCCCUUGAUGCCAGUGGGGCUCGGCAUAGGGGUCACCCAGGCUUUGUAACUUGCAGGAUUUGGGGCCUUGGAGACUAAGAUAGUGGAAAAAAAUGUCUAGCAAGCCCUACAAAUCCAUCACUUGUUGAUGUCUAAACCGUUUUCACUAAUGUUGCUGCUCUGGCCAUAGAACAUGCAUUACAGUCUUGAAAUAACCUGUUGUCAAACUGUUUAAAAGCUGAGAAUGGUUCUGGAUAGUGGUAAAUUGGACAAUAUACUUAAAACUCUUCAGGCCUUCAUUGUCUCAUCCCUGCCACAGCCUUUUGGCCUUUAUUUCUAUUCUGGGUUCUUUCCCAUUGAUUUUGAAGACAGAAAAAUGAGUGUUAGAAACACAAGAAAAGAGAGAAGGGAAAUUAAUUGUGCCAGAAUAGUGCUUCCUGUUAGAGACCAGAAGUCUCUUCAGAAAAGUCAGGAGUCAGAGGGUUGGAAGAGCAGCUGGAUACGCCAGAAUCAUAUGGUUAACGUAACAUAUAAAGAGUCCAUGACCUUUAUUUUUAAAGCAUUGAACCUUAUUUUUCUGAAAUUGGAUUUAAGAGACAAUGCUAAACAUUAAUCCCCUUGAAUGACCAGUGUGAUCACUGUUCUAUGACUACGCUAUUUCAUAACUAGUUUGUUAUACCUACCAAGUAUUCCAGUUUAGCUAACACAGUGUAAAAUUUCAUCUUCCCGUAGUAUAAAAUGAUGAAAAUGUGAUCGCAUAGUAUUGUCUCAAAAUCUUUCUGCCUUCGCUGCUUCUGGUCUGCUUAUCCCCCAUUGUGCUAAAACUGGCACCAGUGGUGCCACAGUUGCUAAAUCUGAGCAGUAAUGCUGCCUGUGGAAAGGCCAACUCCACAGGUGGGAUGCGAACAGGCUGGCAAGCAUAGUAGAAGUAUCUGUAAACUUUUGUAAAAAUUAAUUUUAAAAAAUUGAAGGUUCUAAUGAAGGAAAAAAUGAAAUGAUAAAUCACAGUUCAGCUGCCUGUAUUUUUAUAGUUACUCACCUUUAUGGCCAUCCUCAAACAGGAUACACUUGUGUUUGUGAGAAUGAAUCCUUGGAGAUGUGGGGAAAUGAAGGAAAGCAUAGUGCCAAUUAUUUAAAAUGAAUGUGCCAACCUUUCAAGGGGUAAAUAUCAUUCUGGUUGUAUUUUAAAUGUAAGACUCAGCACCAAAAACUCAAGCAGGGGAAACAGCCCUGUUAUCUAUUUUGGAUAUUAAAAUACUGUUGCUGAGUAUGUUAAAAAAUUAAAUUAAAAAAAAUAAAUUUAAAAUUAAUGGAGAUAUCCCAUCUCCUAGAACUGGAAGGGACCUUGAAAGGUCAUUGAGUCCAGCC